rnacentral:rRNA from 1 species
AGGACGAACGCUGGCGGCGUGCUUAACACAUGCAAGUCGAGCGGAAAGGCCCUUCGGGGUACUCGAGCGGCGAACGGGUGAGUAACACGUGAGCAAUCUGCCCUUAGCUUCGGGAUAGCUCCGGGAAACCGGAAUUAAUACCGAAUACGACUACGGCCGACAUCGGCUGUGGUGGAAAGUUUUUCGGCUAGGGAUGAGCUCGCGGCCUAUCAGCUUGUUGGUGAGGUAACGGCUCACCAAGGCGACGACGGGUAGCCGG